rnacentral:piRNA from 1 species
AGGGACUGUAGAGAUGGCUCAGAGGUUAAA